GUGAGGAAUAUUGUGCAAUGGAGGCAACUCUGACGCAGCCAUGCCGCGUGCAGGAAGAAGGCGCUACGCGUUGUAAACUGCUUUUAACCGGGAAGAAACCCCAGGACGUGUCCUGGGUUGACGGUACCGGAGGAAUAAGCACCGGCUAACUUCGUGCCAGCAGCCGCGGUAAUACGAAGGGUGCAAGCGUUAUCCGGAUUCAUUGGGUUUAAAGGGUGCGUAGGCGGAGCGUUAAGUCAGUGGUGAAAUCCUGCAGCUUAACUGUAGACUUGCCAUUGAUACUGGCGCUCUUGAGUGCGCUUGAAGUGGGCGGAAUGUGCCGUGUAGCGGUGAAAUGCUUAGAUAUGGCACAGAACACCAAUUGCGAAGGCAGCUCACUAAGGCGAUACUGACGCUGAGGCACGAAAGCGUGGGGAUCGAACAGGAUUAGAUACCCGAGUAGUCC
rnacentral:rRNA from 1 species